rnacentral:rRNA from 1 species
AACGAACGCUGGCGGCAGGCUUAACACAUGCAAGUCGAACGGGUGUAGCAAUACAUCAGUGGCAGACGGGUGAGUAACACGUGGGAACCUUCCUAGGGGUACGGAACAACUCAGGGAAACUUGAGCUAAUACCGUAUACGUCCGUGAGGAGAAAGAUUUAUCGCCCGUAGACGGGCCCGCGUAGGAUUAGGUAGUUGGUGGGGCAACGGCCUACCAAGCCUACGAUCCGUAGCUGAUCUUAGAGGAUGAUCAGCCACACUGGGACUGAGACACGGCCCAGACUCCUACGGGAGGCAGCAGUGGGGAAUCUUGGACAAUGGGCGCAAGCCUGAUCCAGCCAUGCCGCGUGAGUGAAGAAGGCCUUAGGGUUGUAAAGCUCUUUUACCAGGGACGAUAAUGACGGUACCUGGAGAAUAAGCCCCGGCAAACUUCGUGCCAGCCGCCGCGGUAACAC